CCUACGAGAGGCAGCAGUGAGGAAUAUUGGUCAAUGGGCGCGAGCCUGAACCAGCCAAGUCGCGUGAAGGAUGACUGCCCUCCGGGUUGUAAACUUUGUUUAUAAAGGAAUACAGUGAGUCACGUGUGCCUUUUUGUAUUGACUUUAUUAAUCAAGAUCGCCUAACUCCGUGCCAGCAGCCGCGGUAAUACGGAGUGUCCGAGCGUUAUCCGGAUUUAUUGGGUUUAAAGGGACCGUAGAUGGGUUGUUAAGUCAGUUGUGAAAGUUUGCGGCUCAACCGGAAAAUUGCACUUGAUACUGGCAGUCUUGAGUACAGUUGAGGAAGGCGGAAGUAGUGGUGGAGCGGUGAAAUGCUUAGAUAUCACGAAGAACUACGAUUGCGAAGGCAGCUUACUAAAACGUAACUGACAUUGAUGCUCGAAAGCGUGGGUAUCAAACAGGAUUAGAUACCCCAGUAGUC
rnacentral:rRNA from 1 species